GUGGGAUGUUGAGGUUUAUGAUAAUUGGUGUGAAGGAACUAGUUAAAUUAUGCUAAAAUCUGAAAAUUUUGGAGAGUCAACUAUGGUCUGGAAGUGAUCUAGAGAAGUUCUUCUGAACUAUUGAGUCAUUAUGUUUAUAGUAGUAACUAGUAUUUGGUUAUAUGAUGGAAUGUGAUACAUGCUACGUUGAACGUUGAGAAUUUCUAGUUUCCAGUAUUAUCCGUUUCUUCAAAUUUGGACGUCUAAUGGUUUGUCGUCUUUUGCUUCUUGUGCGCGGAUUAGAUGUGAUUAGGUGGUGUAUAAUUUUUUCUUGUUAUUGGCAUGAUGGAGAAAAACUUCCUUAUGAUUAUAUUAAGAAUGAGAGAGGAUUUAUUGUUACUUUUACUACAUUAUGG
rnacentral:misc_RNA from 1 species